rnacentral:lncRNA from 1 species
GCUUGAGGAAGAAGAAGACUGGUUUCAGUGGUGACCAAGACAAGAACAAGGAGGGGGAAGUGGUGAAAUCGAAGAUGCAGACUACGACUACGGAACCUACACAGCCUCAGCCUCCGCAGCAGAUGAUGAGCUUGAGUUUUAGUAGUCAGAUGUCUAAAGAAGACGAGGAGAUGGCUCGUUCUGCUCUCUCUGCUUUCAGAGCUAAAGAGGAUGAGAUUGAGAAGAGGAAAAUGGAGGUUCGUGAAAGGGUUAAGGCUCAGCUUGGUCGUGUCGAGGAAGAGACUCGUCGUCUUGCUAAUAUCCGCGAGGUUUGUUUUCUUUUCCUUUUUUUCAAACUUUCGAAGAUCUCACAUUUUUUUUUUCUUUUUCUGAGAUUUUGAAGCUCAAAUGGUUUGAAAUUACACUCAUGCAGUUUGUGUUGUGUCUGUAUUUGCUGUGAUUUGAAUUUUUGGUGAUGUUUCUGCAAUUUUGGAAGUUUAGGGUUUUAUAGAUGUAAAAGUUGUAGAUUUUGAA